rnacentral:rRNA from 1 species
CGUGUAGGCGGUUUGUUAAGUCAGUUGUUAAAUCCCAUGGCUUACCCAUGGAUCGGCAAUUGAUACUGGCGAACUAGAGGACAAGAGAGAGGAGUGGAAUUCUCGGAGUAGCGGUAAAAUGCGUAGAUCUCGAGAGGAACACCGAUGGCGAAGGCAGCUCUUUGGCUUGUACCUGACGCUGAGGCGCGAAAGCGUGGGGAGCAAACA